rnacentral:rRNA from 1 species
UACAGAGGUCUCAAGCGUUUGUUCGGAUUCAUUGGGCGUAAAGGGUGCGUAGGCGGCGCGGUAAGUCGGGUGUGAAAUCUCGGAGCUUAACUCCGAAACUGCAUUCGAUACUGCCGUGCUUGAGGACUGGAGAGGAGACUGGAAUUUACGGUGUAGCGGUGAAAUGCGUAGAUAUCGGAAGGAACAUCAGUGGCGAAAGCGACUUCCUGGACCAAUACUGACGCUCAUGUGCGAAAGCGUGGGGAGCAAACAGGG